AAAACCCAAUAUAGUUUAGCCACUAGGCACCAAAAGCUAGUACUUUUUUUUCUGAUCUUAUUUAUUCCCAGAUUUUCAAUAGUCCUCCUAGAAAAUACUUUAAGAUUAGUAUUGCUCAUCUUUUCUCAAAGUUCAAUAUAGAUACAGACUAGACCAUCCCCAUGAGGUUGUACUCUCUCGAUUAGGAAGUCUCACAUGGUUCUCUCUUCACCAGGACACUACUGCAGCUGCUACUAAUUAUUUUGGAUAAAACAUUAGCAAUGAGAUGCAUCAGUGUGGCUUGCACACUUUUGCCCUCUUUUGUCCCAUGGUGUGGCACAAUUAAAUCAUCACCACCAUCAUCAUCAGAUGUACAUCAAAGAAGAGGAGCUCCAGACAAAAGGAAUAUACAGAUUUCAUUACUUGAUGGAAGAGACUAUGACACACAAGCUACUAAGGACCUGCCAUUUUUCUCAUUUGAAAGUUUCUUAAUGUUUCAAAGAGGCAAAACAACAAAUGCAAUUAUUUGACACCACUGACUAUCCCACUCGAUCCAAAGCCGACCUGUUCUCACUGACCAAUGCAUUUGGAGCUUCCAAUGUUGAAGACUGGAAUGAAACCAAAGACGCAAUGAAACGCCAGGAGUUGCAGAAUGCUCCAGGAUCAGCCCAUUGAUCCAGUCAAAUACUGCAUGAGGUCUCAUGUGAGAGUCUCAAUCUCACGACUCAUCUCUCGAGUAACUAUCUUCAGUUAAGUUAAAUCUGGGAUGAAAAUACUUUUUUUAAAAC
rnacentral:lncRNA from 1 species